rnacentral:tRNA from 1 species
GCGGGCGUGGCGAAAUGGUAGACGCAGCGGACUCAAAAUCCGCCGGAGAAAUCCUUGUCGGUUCGAGUCCGACCGCCCGCACCA